ACAGCUGGAAUGUGGCACGUGGGUCAGACCCUUCUGAGUCCAGUUGGGUAACUCAGCAGAGAUCAGAAUGAUCUUCAAAAACCAACAAGCCAUUGGCACGUAUCUUCAGGCAUGCUUGAAGUCUAUGGGGCCAAAUGGUAGAGUAUCCUGGCAGAGCCAAAAAGUCUUCUUUUAUGACACAGAAAAGAAAACUUCUUUCAAAGUAGUUAUGCAACCCAGGAGAACACAAUGCAUCCACUGUGUGUGUCCUGGGGCUGUCUAUGAACACAUGAUUUCAUAUUUUUGUCCUCUGUAAACUUCAGCAUUGAUGAUGAACAUUAUUUCAAGGAAAUAUCCCACUACUUUAUCUCUGUAAAGACAUCCAUAGAGAAUAUUGGUUUGCCAUGGCUCUUUGAAACAGUUACUCUUGUCCUCAUUGUAGAGAUGGCGAUACUAAGGCAGAAUAUGGCUAGCCUGGACUUCUUUUUGUGGAGACUGGAUUCCAAGAUUGAAAGUAGAAGCUACAUGUUUUCUCCAAGCAGGGCUUUCAGACUUCACUUCUGCAACAUUUUAUUGAUGAAAGCAAGUCACAAGACCAGACUGAUUCAAGGGGUGGAGAAAUAGACCCUACUUCUUGAUGGAGGGAGGAGUAGAGUUACAUUGCAAAGGGAUCUGGACAAAAAAAGGAGUGAUUUAUUAGGAAUCAUGUUUAACAAUUUACCACAAUCCCCAGCGCAACUGCCUGUUAGCUGGAUCCAGAAAUGUCUACGACUACUGCAAUGCCACUUGGCCUUAGGGGUGAUGUGACCCAGUGUAAAGAGAUGGUGGUCUUAACCAAUCACAGUUAAGAUAGUUUAGUUUUGGAAGGUAUAAAAAAUAUGUAACAACAUGAAUGCACUUUUAGGGUCAGACAAGAGACUUGGAAAGAGCCUGCAAAAUGGAGGAGCCCUGAGGCCUAAGUCUCAUGAGUGUCAAUGCUUACCUGUAUCUAGACACUGGCAUCCCCCUUUUGAUAAGGCCAAGAUUGAUUGUUUUCCUUUUCUACCUACCCUAUAUCUAAUCCAUGUACAAACACUGUUGACACACAAAAGAACCCUAAAUUCAACAAUCUGUGAAGAAUUUUUGCACUAACAUGUUAGUUCAAAAACUCAACAUUGCUUGCUAAGACUAUUGCAAUAAACUCCUCUAUGAUCCCCUAAUUUGAUUCUUGCUCCUCUUAUUUUUUACACAGUCAUCAGAGUAAAUCUUUUCAAAGGUAAAUUGGAUUUUAUGACUUUU
rnacentral:lncRNA from 10 species